UACGUAGGGGGCAAGCGUUGUUCGGAAUUACUGGGCGUAAAGGGCGCGUAGGCGGCACGGCAAGUCAGGCGUGAAAGGCCUGGGCUCAACCGAGGAACUGCUUUUGAGACUGCCGAGCUAGAGUGCGGAAGGGGCAACUGGAAUUCCCAGUGUAGCGGUGAAAUGCGUAGAUAUUGGGAAGAACACCUGAGGCGAAGGCGGGUUGCUGGGCCGACACUGACGCUGAGGCGCGAAAGCCAGGGGAGCAAACGGG
rnacentral:rRNA from 1 species